AGCGAACGCUGGCGGCAGGCUUAACACAUGCAAGUCGAGCGGACCUUUCGGGGUCAGCGGCGGACGGGUGAGUAACGCGUGGGAACGUGCCUUCCGGUUCGGAAUAACCCUGGGAAACUAGGGCUAAUACCGGAUACGCCCUUAUGGGGUUAGGUUUACUGGCGGAAGAUGGGCCGGCGUGUGAUUGGCUGGUUGGUGGGGUAAGGGCCAACCAAGGCGAGGAGCAGUGGCUGGUCUGAGAGGAUGAUCAGCCACACUGGGACUGGGACACGGACCAGACUCCGACGGGAGGGAGCAGAGGGGAGUAUUGGAGAAUGAGCGCAAGUCUGAUCCAGCCGUGCCGGGUGAGUGAUGAAGCGCUUAGGGUUGUAAAGCUCUUUUAUCCGAGACGAUAAUGACGGUACCGGAGGAAUAAGCCCCGGCUAACUUCGUG
rnacentral:rRNA from 1 species